UCCAACAUGCCCCUAAAAAGGCGCAGCCUUGUGGGGCAGCCAGGGGGGACGUCCCGGCUUGGCCAGACUCACCUCCGGACCCUGGGGUUGACCCGUGUGUGACUGCCAUGUUCACGGUGCCCUCGGGGAGAGCGGACAGUCCCGAGGCUGGGCUGCGAGGACCGAUCGCUAACCAGCUAAGGACCCACCUGCACCUGGGGUGAGAGAAGCCUGCCAGCAGCUCCUCAUGCCAAAACCUCCAGACGUGGUGAGCGGCGCGAUGAGAGGAGGCAUCCAAGGCCACCCAGCCCUCCGUGGUCCUGUCCACCCUCCGAGCCACCAGGGGAGGAAGCAGGAGCCACAGCAGGCCCUUCCACAAGGGUGUAAAAGUCCCCAACAAAGUGCCGUCCGCGAACUCCAGUAACGUUUCUCAAGAAGAGAAGACACACAGCAAGGAGGCGGCUGAUCUGAGGAGGCAGGGCGGGUUCAAGUAAGACCUGACCUUCGCCAUGACCUUGGAGCACGCCCUGGCUGGACCCCCCCUCUCGUGGCUCAUCUUCUGGCUCACUGACCCUCGGUGGCUUCCAUUCUGUUACUGUCGCACCUCCCACUUCCUGCCACAGGGCCUUUGUAGCUGCUGUCGCCCGCUGCUUGAAAAUCCUCUGGCUACCUUGGGUUGGCUGCUUCUUUACUGUCUCCCAGCUUGUCCCUCAUCCAGCUGCUCUGGGGCCCCUGCUGAGUUCCUUGGUGACAUUCCCUCUCAUGCAGGGAUGAGCUCACCUCAGUCUGUAAUGGUCUCCUUUUUGCUCUCUUGUUGGCUCCUUGCCCUCCCCGGUGGUAAACGCCCCCAAAAGAAGAUUCUCGUCUGUCUCUCGUUGCUAAGUGCCAGCACGGCACCCAGCCCUGCGUGCCAGGAACUUAAGAGGCACUUAAUACAUACUUAUUAAGUGAACAAAUGGCUACCUGGCCAUUUUGGACCUUUCACUGAUGGCUCCUAUCAAGGAGGGGAAGGAAAAUUCCCAGUCCAGGGCUGGACCCAGC